AUGUAACGCCAUUGGGGUAGGAAGCCCGGAAACCUCUCUCUCCGAUGAAAUAUAGCCACUGAAAUGUAACCCAGGAUUGUUUUCUUCAAGACCUGAUCUUCAUAUCUUUGUCGGACUCUGGUCCCUCUGGGAUCUCUGAGGUUGGGGCCCAUGGAAAAGCAGCCAGUGGUUUCUCCCAGCAGAGAGGAAGAACUUGUCCUGCAUGAGCAUCCUUGACAAAAGGAGACACAGGAUCACCUCAGAAACUUAAAGCUAAUUCACAAGAUGUCUUUGAAAUAAGUAGCUACCGUCUGCAUACUGUCUAAACUACAUCACGGUCUCAUCAGUUAAAAAGAAACACGCUGUUGAAUUCACCAAA